GCCAGUGUAGCUCAGUGGUAGAGCAACGGUUUCGUAAACCGUAGGUCGUGAGUUCAAUCCUCACCACUGGCUCCA
rnacentral:tRNA from 1 species